CUUAACACAAGUUGAGUAGGGAAAGUUUUUCGGUGUAGGAUGAGACUAUAUAGUAUCAGCUAGUUGGUAAGGUAAUGGCUUACCAAGGCUAUGACGCUUAACUGGUCUGAGAGGAUGAUCAGUCACACUGGAACUGAGACACGGUCCAGACUCCUACGGGAGGCAGCAGUAGGGAAUAUUGCGCAAUGGGGGAAACCCUGACGCAGCAACGCCGCGUGGAGGAUGACACUUUUCGGAGCGUAAACUCCUUUUCUUAGGGAAGAAUUCUGACGGUACCUAAGGAAUAAGCACCGGCUAACUCCGUGCCAGCAGCCGCGGUAAUACGGAGGGUGCAAGCGUUACUCGGAAUCACUGGGCGUAAAGGGCGCGUAGGCGGAUUAUCAAGUCUCUUGUGAAAUCUAAUGGCUUAACCAUUAAACUGCUUGGGAAACUGAUAGUCUAGAGUGAGGGAGAGGCAGAUGGAAUUGGUGGUGUAGGGGUAAAAUCCGUAGAUAUCACCAAGAAUACCCAUUGCGAAGGCGAUCUGCUGGAACUCAACUGACGCUAAGGCGCGAAAGCGUGGGGAGCAAACAGGAUUAGAUACCCUGGUAGUCCACGCCCUAAACGAUGUACACUAGUUGUUGGGAUGCUAGUCAUCUCAGUAAUGCAGCUAACGCAUUAAGUGUACCGCCUGGGGAGUACGGUCGCAAGAUUAAAACUCAAAGGAAUAGACGGGGACCCGCACAAGCGGUGGAGCAUGUGGUUUAAUUCGAAGAUACGCGAAGAACCUUACCUGGGCUUGAUAUCCUAAGAACCUUAUAGAGAUAUGAGGGUGCUAGCUUGCUAGAACUUAGAGACAGGUGCUGCACGGCUGUCGUCAGCUCGUGUCGUGAGAUGUUGGGUUAAGUCCCGCAACGAGCGCAACCCACGUAUUUAGUUGCUAACGGUUCGGCCGAGCACUCUAAAUAGACUGCCUUCGUAAGGAGGAGGAAGGUGUGGACGACGUCAAGUCAUCAUGGCCCUUAUGCCCAGGGCGACACACGUGCUACAAUGGCAUAUACAAUGAGACGCAAUACCGCGAGGUGGAGCAAAUCUAUAAAAUAUGUCCCAGUUCGGAUUGUUCUCUGCAACUCGAGAGCAUGAAGCCGGAAUCGCUAGUAAUCGUAGAUCAGCCAUGCUACGGUGAAUACGUUCCCGGGUCUUGUACUCACCGCCCGUCACACCAUGGGAGUUGAUUUCACUCGAAGCCGGAAUACUAA
rnacentral:rRNA from 1 species